rnacentral:misc_RNA from 1 species
CGAGCGAGCAGUUCCUGCACAGCUGCGCGCUCGUUUUCACGACCAACGGACUUUUCUUCCUCAUGUCGUCGACAAUGAGCAUCACGACGGCCCUUAUGCUCCCCAGAUUGUUUUAUUACAACCUUUUCGAACUCGUCGCAGCAGCAUGCUACAUAUAUGGCGGAGUCGGGAGCGUUGGCAACUCAUCUUUCAUCGAUGGCGUAACCGCGAUUAUCUGCGGGGGCUUUCACCUCGUCCAUUUUAUUUAUUCGAUUCUCAAGAACUGAGAGUGGCUGGAGUUCAAAUUGGCGGGCUCACGGGCCUCCUCUCGCUCCAUGCGCCUUACACGCACCAUUGUAUAUACACGAGAAGAUGCGCACAUCUGAUCCAUUGAUGACCUGUGCUGUGGCAACAUAAAAUUCGGAAUGGUGACGC